UCGAGAAUCUUUCGCAAUGGACGGAAGUCUGACGAAGCGACGCCGCGUGUGUGAUGAAGGCUCUAGGGUUGUAAAGCACUUUCGCUUGGGAAUAAGAGAAGACGGUUAAUACCCGUUGGAUUUGAGCGUACCAGGUAAAGAAGCACCGGCUAACUCCGUGCCAGCAGCUGCGGUAAUACGGAGGGUGCUAGCGUUAAUCGGAUUUAUUGGGCGUAAAGGGCGUGUAGGCGGAAAGGUAAGUUAGUUGUCAAAUCUCGGGGCUCAACCCCGAAUCGGCAUCUAAAACUAUUUUUCUAGAGGGUAGAUGGAGAAAAGGGAAUUUCACGUGUAGCGGUGAAAUGCGUAGAUAUGUGGAAGAACACCAGUGGCGAAGGCGCUUUUCUAAUUUAUACCUGACGCUAAGGCGCGAAAGCAAGGGGAGCAAACA
rnacentral:rRNA from 1 species